GCAUUAUGUUCCCAUGCAGCCUGGAUUAAUUGCUUUGGGAGUGACAUUUCUCUGUGGACCACCAAAAUUUUCUCACGGCCCACCAGUGAUUCCUGGCCCACUGGUUGGCGACCACUGGACUAGAAGACCUGUAUUAAGAUCCCUUCCAACCCUAUUAUUCUAUCUUCUACAAGUAUUGCUAAAGCACUUUGAAUAGAUUAUGAUAAACUGUGAUCCUGGUGCAUAAGAGUCAUUGGAUGAUUGUCCUCUUCAGGAGAAGAGCUAGAACCCAUCAUAAAGGGAUGUGGAAAUAAUAGCUCCUUUGAAGAUCUGCAGGUGCUUUAUCAGAUUGGAAGAGACUUCGCUUUCUUUGACCAAAAAAUCUGUGACCAAUCCAGCUGCAAUAAUAGAAGUUUUCCAGAGAUCCUCCCAGGGCAGCCUAAUGGGCUACGGUGCUAUACUUGUGGUGAUUCGGCCGUGAAGAGUGCGCCCUCCAGAAACAGCAGGUUUUGAGGUGCACUGGAGCCAUGAACCGGUGUGUCCGCAUCAUCAGAGCAGAAAAUAAAAGCACAGCCGUGACCAUUCAGAAGGGCUGUGCCACGGAAUCCAUGUGCAGGAGAGACACAGAUAUAUAUUUUAGACUGAAGAGAGAAAAUACUCAUGCCGAAUGUUGUAAAAGGAAUCUUUGCAACCAAGCCCACAGUCCCACCAGCCCACAACUGGUGACAAUUCUUACUUUAUGGUUAGUGUUGAAGGUCUAUCCGUAACCACCCCUGUUUCAUUGGUGGCACAGAAAUAAAUUUGGGACAUUCUGGGGGUGAGGUGUUUUUUUGGCCUCUGGCGUUCCAAUGCAUAAACUUCGUUGCUUUUCUAAAAAAAAAAAUGUUGCUUUUCUUUCUCCCAUUUUGCACACUGAGAAGGUGAGCUCUCCCUUGACUUUUUUUUUUUUAAAUUACAUUUAUAUGCCGCCCUUCUCCGGAGACUCAGGGCGGCUUACAAUUUUUUUG
rnacentral:lncRNA from 1 species